AGUCGCCUUGCAUACUAUACAAAUACUACAUCAACUCUUCAGCUUCAACUGUUGAUAGCGGGUGACGUGAACCCGAACCCUGGGCCUAUUAGCAAUGACUUGACCUUGGAAAAGCAGAACCAUGCAUCAACUACCUUACCUCCAAACAACCCGCGAAAAUACAGCAGGUAUGAACUUCUACAGCUUAAUGUACCUGGACAACAGAGAACUGAACUCCAGAGAGAGAGUCAUGGCUGAAGGAAGACGAUCAAGUCGUCAUUGGAGAAUGCACACCACCGGGUUACACGUUUCAUAGUUCACCUCGAAAAACUGGUCAUGGAGGAGGUAUCGCAGUCCUCUUUAAGUCAGAGCUUAAUCUAACUACAAAGCCAGUCUCUAACGUCACAACAUUUGAAUCCGUUCAUGUUAUCAGCAGGACAUCGACACUUCACAUCGUUGUCAUCUACCGUCCACCACCUUCGACUGCAAAUGGACUAACUGUUCCAGACUUCCUGAAUGAGUUUGAGAGUUUUCUAACCGAUUUAUCAGUCCUUCCAGGCAAAUUACUUGUGCUUGGAGACUUCAACUUCCACGUGGAUCUACCUGCCAAACCAGACGUCAGUGCCUUUCUUCAAGCGACAUCCUCCGCCAGUCUUCAUCAGCAUGUCAUAGGUCCAACUCAUUCGCAUGGUCACACAUUGGACUUGGUAUUCACAAGAGAGACGGAAUCCUUAAUUAAGAAAUGUAAUAUCUAUGAUGUACAAAUGUCUGAUCAUUUUGUUAUUGAUGUUCAAUUAGACAUACCUUUACCGCAACCACAAAAGAUUCUCACAAUAUCUCGAAAUUUUAAAGCAAUCAACAAGGAAAUAUUCUUGACAGCUUUGUGUGAGUCAAUUUUGGAUUUUAACCACCAAGGAGAUCCUGAAUCUGGGUUCAAGUGGUACAAUGAAACUAUGCAAUCACUUCUGGACGAAUCUGCCCCUCCAACCUCAAAAGAACGCCCUGUACGACGAAGGAUGCUGUGGUACAACGAUGACAUUCAUUUGGCACGUCGUGAGAAACGUCGAGCAGAACGAAAA